rnacentral:ncRNA from 1 species
UAGCGCUAGUUCCCUUCUUAUCUUAUUAAUAGGAAGGGAAGACGAGGAGAAGGUUGUCGAGACGUCAGCGGAUGCCUUCCGGCCGUCCCAGUCGAAAGGGCCUGAUGAAAACAGAGGAGCAAUCCUCUGCACAAAGUCAGGCU